GUAAUAGUGGUAUAUGAAUGUUAGUUGGUGGUGUGUAAUAGUGGUAUAUAGAUGGAGGGUUAGUUGGUGGUAUGUAAUAGUGGUAUAUAGAUGGAGGGUUAGUUGGUGGUGUGUAAUAGUGGUAUAUGGAUGUUAGUUGGUGGUGUGUAAUAGUGGUAUAUAGAUGGAGGGUUAGUUGGUGGUAUGUAAUAGUUGUAUAUAUCUGUUAGAUGGUGGUGUGUAAUAGUGGUAUAUGGAUGUUAGUUGGUGGUAUGUAAUAGUG
rnacentral:lncRNA from 1 species